CCGAAUCUUGGAGUGGGAGGAGCAGGAUGGAGUAUUUUGGCUUGUUAAAGUCUAACUUUUAAAGGUUAGGAAACCAGGGCAUCUCCUGGAGGGGCUCUGCUGGCAGGGCCCAAAAGACAGUGCCUUUGAAGGAAGCUGUGUGUUAGAAAAACAGUCUCUAAAUUCCCACUUUCCCCUGGCUGAAAAUGAAAAAUAAAGGCAGCUUUCCAAACCAUGUGGUACCCAGAAACAAACAAACAAAAAGGAAUUCUCCUCAUCACAGACCUAGAGCCACGUGCAACAUGGUGCUGGCUAUGCAGCUGGGUGGCCGAGGCCAGGGUUUGUGCAGGGACAUCUGCUUCCUCCUCCCUCAUGAUGGAAACUCCUGCCCAUCACUGUGCACAUCGCACUGAUACCACAGUGACAUGGAGGCUAUGGUCCCCUGUGUGGCCUUGGCAGGAAAAGAGACAGCCAGGGUGGCUGCUUGCUUAAGACUUCAGGCCUCCCCUGGGGACAGGAUUUCAGGUAUCAGUCCCCCCAGCUGAUGAACCAGUGACAACAGGCUUAUCCAGGUGGUUUUAUUUAGUAAAAUUUUACAAAAGUCAGGGCUGACUUCUUGGCUCUGCCCUUCGAAGAGCACAGUUUUCCUUAGCAGAUAACUGGGGGAAGCCACGGGCCCACCAGAGGCUCUCGCAGAAACCUCUGUCUCCCCUUGGCUCUGCCAAGGACACAUCCUCCAUCUCCUGGUCAGACCCG
rnacentral:lncRNA from 1 species